GGAAGGGUCUGUAGUUCAGUGGCAGAGCAACUGCUUUGCAUGCAGAAGGUGUCCCGGUUCAAUCCUGAGCACCUCCA